rnacentral:rRNA from 1 species
GCAUGAGUUAUGUCAUGUUAUCGAUAUGUGAAUACAUAGCAUAUCAGAAGGCACACCCGGAGAACUGAAACAUCUUAGUACCCGGAGGAAGAGAAAGAAAAUUCGAUUCCCUUAGUAGCGGCGAGCGAAACGGGAAGAGCCCAAACCAACAAGCUUGCUUGUUGGGGUUGUAGGACACUCUAUACGGAGUUACAAAGGACGACAUUAGACGAAUCAUCUGGAAAGAUGAAUCAAAGAAGGUAAUAAUCCUGUAGUCGAAAAUGUUGUCUCUCUUGAGUGGAUCCUGAGUACGACGGAGCACGUGAAAUUCCGUCGGAAUCUGGGAGGACCAUCUCCUAAGGCUAAAUACUCUCUAGUGACCGAUAGUGAACCAGUACCGUGAGGGAAAGGUGAAAAGCACCCCGGAAGGGGAGUGAAAUAGAACCUGAAACCGUGUGCUUACAAGUAGUCAGAGCCCGUUAAUGGGUGAUGGCGUGCCUUUUGUAGAAUGAACCGGCGAGUUACGAUUUGAUGCAAGGUUAAGCAGUAAAUGUGGAGCCGUAGCGAAAGCGAGUCUGAAUAGGGCGUUUAGUAUUUGGUCGUAGACCCGAAACCAGGUGAUCUACCCUUGGUCAGGUUGAAGUUCAGGUAACACUGAAUGGAGGACCGAACCGACUUACGUUGAAAAGUGAGCGGAUGAACUGAGGGUAGCGGAGAAAUUCCAAUCGAACCUGGAGAUAGCUGGUUCUCUCCGAAAUAGCUUUAGGGCUAGCCUCAAGUGAUGAUUAUUGGAGGUAGAGCACUGUUUGGACGAGGGGCCCCUCUCGGGUUACCGAAUUCAGACAAACUCCGAAUGCCAAUUAAUUUAACUUGGGAGUCAGAACAUGGGUGAUAAGGUCCAUGUUCGAAAGGGAAACAGCCCAGACCACCAGCUAAGGUCCCAAAAUAUAUGUUAAGUGGAAAAGGAUGUGGCGUUGCCCAGACAACUAGGAUGUUGGCUUAGAAGCAGCCAUCAUUUAAAGAGUGCGUAAUAGCUCACUAGUCGAGUGACACUGCGCCGAAAAUGUACCGGGGCUAAACAUAUUACCGAAGCUGUGGAUUGUCCUUUGGACAAUGGUAGGAGAGCGUUCUAAGGGCGUUGAAGCAUGAUCGUAAGGACAUGUGGAGCGCUUAGAAGUGAGAAUGCCGGUGUGAGUAGCGAAAGACGGGUGAGAAUCCCGUCCACCGAUUGACUAAGGUUUCCAGAGGAAGGCUCGUCCGCUCUGGGUUAGUCGGGUCCUAAGCUGAGGCCGACAGGCGUAGGCGAUGGAUAACAGGUUGAUAUUCCUGUACCACCUAUAAUCGUUUUAAUCGAUGGGGGGACGCAGUAGGAUAGGCGAAGCGUGCGAUUGGAUUGCACGUCUAAGCAGUAAGGCUGAGUAUUAGGCAAAUCCGGUACUCGUUAAGGCUGAGCUGUGAUGGGGAGAAGACAUUGUGUCUUCGAGUCGUUGAUUUCACACUGCCGAGAAAAGCCUCUAGAUAGAAAAUAGGUGCCCGUACCGCAAACCGACACAGGUAGUCAAGAUGAGAAUUCUAAGGUGAGCGAGCGAACUCUCGUUAAGGAACUCGGCAAAAUGACCCCGUAACUUCGGGAGAAGGGGUGCUCUUUAGGGUUAACGCCCAGAAGAGCCGCAGUGAAUAGGCCCAAGCGACUGUUUAUCAAAAACACAGGUCUCUGCUAAACCGUAAGGUGAUGUAUAGGGGCUGACGCCUGCCCGGUGCUGGAAGGUUAAGAGGAGUGGUUAGCUUCUGCGAAGCUACGAAUCGAAGCCCCAGUAAACGGCGGCCGUAACUAUAACGGUCCUAAGGUAGCGAAAUUCCUUGUCGGGUAAGUUCCGACCCGCACGAAAGGCGUAACGAUUUGGGCACUGUCUCAACGAGAGACUCGGUGAAAUCAUAGUACCUGUGAAGAUGCAGGUUACCCGCGACAGGACGGAAAGACCCCGUGGAGCUUUACUGUAGCCUGAUAUUGAAAUUCGGCACAGCUUGUACAGGAUAGGUAGGAGCCUUUGAAACGUGAGCGCUAGCUUACGUGGAGGCGCUGGUGGGAUACUACCCUAGCUGUGUUGGCUUUCUAACCCGCACCACUUAUCGUGGUGGGAGACAGUGUCAGGCGGGCAGUUUGACUGGGGCGGUCGCCUCCUAAAAGGUAACGGAGGCGCUCAAAGGUUCCCUCAGAAUGGUUGGAAAUCAUUCAUAGAGUGUAAAGGCAUAAGGGAGCUUGACUGCGAGACCUACAAGUCGAGCAGGGUCGAAAGACGGACUUAGUGAUCCGGUGGUUCCGCAUGGAAGGGCCAUCGCUCAACGGAUAAAAGCUACCCCGGGGAUAACAGGCUUAUCUCCCCCAAGAGUUCACAUCGACGGGGAGGUUUGGCACCUCGAUGUCGGCUCAUCGCAUCCUGGGGCUGUAGUCGGUCCCAAGGGUUGGGCUGUUCGCCCAUUAAAGCGGUACGCGAGCUGGGUUCAGAACGUCGUGAGACAGUUCGGUCCCUAUCCGUCGUGGGCGUAGGAAAUUUGAGAGGAGCUGUCCUUAGUACGAGAGGACCGGGAUGGACAUACCUCUGGUGUACCAGUUGUCGUGCCAACGGCAUAGCUGGGUAGCUAUGUGUGGACGGGAUAAGUGCUGAAAGCAUCUAAGCAUGAAGCCCCCCUCAAGAUGAGAUUUCCCAACUUCGGUUAUAAGAUCCCUCAAAGAUGAUGAGGUUAAUAGGUUCGAGGUGGAAGCAUGGUGACAUGUGGAGCUGACGAAUACUAAUCGAUCGAAGACUUAAUC